GGGCGGGUAGCUCAGUUGGUUAGAGCGGCUGGUUUACACCCAGUAGGUCGCAGGUUCGAGUCCUGUCUCGCCCACCA
rnacentral:tRNA from 1 species